rnacentral:rRNA from 1 species
GACGGAGGAUGCAAGCGAAAUCCGGAAUUAUUGGGCGUAAAGGGUGCGUAGGUGGUCAGACAAGUCCCAUGUCAAAGCAUGGAGCUUAACGCCAUAAAGGCGUGGGAAACUGUGUGACUAGAGUACAGCAGGGGCAGGAGGAAUCCCCGGUGUAGCGGUGAAAUGCGUAGAUAUCGGGAAGAACACCAGUGGCGCAAGCGUUCUGCUGGGCUGUAACUGACACUGAGGCACGAAAGCUCGGGGAGCGAAAGGG